CAGCCGCCGCGGGAAUACGUAGGGUGCGAGCGUUAAUCGGAAUUACUGGGCGUAAAGCGUGCGCAGGCGGUUAUAUAAGACAGAUGUGAAAUCCCCGGGCUCAACCUGGGACCUGCAUUUGUGACUGUAUAGCUAGAGUACGGUAGAGGGGGAUGGAAUUCCGCGUGUAGCAGUGAAAUGCGUAGAUAUGCGGAGGAACACCGAUGGCGAAGGCAAUCCCCUGGACCUGUACUGACGCUCAUGCACGAAAGCGUGGGGAGCAAACAGGAUUAGAUACCCGAGUAGUCCCUGUCUCUUAUAC
rnacentral:rRNA from 1 species